rnacentral:rRNA from 1 species
AUUGAACGCUGGCGGCAUGCCUUACACAUGCAAGUCGAAUGGCAGCACGGGAGCAAUCCUGGUGGCGAGUGGCGAACGGGUGAGUAAUGUAUCGGAACGUGCCCAGUCGUGGGGGAUAACGCAGCGAAAGCUGUGCUAAUACCGCAGACGAUCUAUGGAUGAAAGCGGGGGAUCGCAAGACCUCGCGCGAUUGGAGUGGCCGAUAUCAGAUUAGCUAGUUGGUGGGGUAAAGGCUCACCAAGGCGACGAUCUGUAGCUGGUCUGCGAGGACGACCAGCCACACUGGAACUGAGACACGGUCCAGACUCCUACGGGAGGCAGCAGUGGGGAAUUUUGGACAAUGGGCGCAAGCCUGAUCCAGCAAUGCCGCGUGCAGGAUGAAGGCCUUCGGGUUGUAAACUGCUUUUGUACGGAGCGAAAAGGCUCUCUCUAAUACAGGGGGCUCAUGACGGUACCGUAAGAAUAAGCACCGGCUAACUACGUGCCAGCAGCCGCAGUAACAC